rnacentral:rRNA from 1 species
AUGAACGCUGGCGGCGUGCCUAACACAUGCAAGUCGAGCGAUUUACUUCGGUAAAGAGCGGCGGACGGGUGAGUAACGCGUGGGUAACCUGCCCUGUACACAUGGAUAACAUACCGAAAGGUAUGCUAAUACGAGAUAAUAUACUUUUAUCGCAUGGUAGAAGUAUCAAAGCUCCGGCGGUACAGGAUGGACCCGCGUCUGAUUAGCUAGUUGGUAAGGUAACGGCUUACCAAGGCGACGAUCAGUAGCCGACCUGAGAGGGUGAUCGGCCACAUUGGAACUGAGACACGGUCCAAACUCCUACGGGAGGCAGCAGUGGGGAAUAUUGCACAAUGGGCGAAAGCCUGAUGCAGCAACGCCGCGUGAGCGAUGAAGGCCUUCGGGUCGUAAAGCUCUGUCCUCAAGGAAGAUAAUGACGGUACUUGAGGAGGAAGCCCCGGCUAACUACGUGCCAGCAGCCGCGGUAAUACGUAGGGGGCUAGCGUUAUCCGGAAUUACUGGGCGUAAAGGGUGCGUAGGUGGUUUCUUAAGUCAGAGGUGAAAGGCUACGGCUCAACCGUAGUAAGCCUUUGAAACUGGGAAACUUGAGUGCAGGAGAGGAGAAUGGAAUUCCUAGUGUAGCGGUGAAAUGCGUAGAUAUUAGGAGGAACACCAGUUGCGAAGGCGGCUCUCUGGACUGUAACUGACACUGAGGCACGAAAGCGUGGGGAGCAAACAGGAUUAGAUACCCUGGUAGUCCACGCCGUAAACGAUGAGUACUAGCUGUCGGAGGUUACCCCCUUCGGUGGCGCAGCUAACGCAUUAAGUACUCCGCCUGGGAAGUACGCUCGCAAGAGUGAAACUCAAAGGAAUUGACGGGGACCCGCACAAGUAGCGGAGCAUGUGGUUUAAUUCGAAGCAACGCGAAGAACCUUACCUGGUCUUGACAUCCACGGAAGUUUUCAGAGAUGAGAAUGUGCCUUCGGGAACCGUGAGACAGGUGCUGCAUGGCUGUCGUCAGCUCGUGUUGUGAAAUGUUGGGUUAAGUCCCGCAACGAGCGCAACCCUUAUCCUUUGUUGCCAGCGGUCCGGCCGGGAACUCAAAGGAGACUGCCAGUGAUAAACUGGAGGAAGGUGGGGAUGACGUCAAAUCAUCAUGCCCCUUAUGCUUAGGGCUACACACGUGCUACAAUGGGUGGUACAGAGGGCAGCCAAGUCGUGAGGCGGAGCUAAUCCCUUAAAGCCAUUCUCAGUUCGGAUUGUAGGCUGAAACUCGCCUACAUGAAGCUGGAGUUACUAGUAAUCGCAGAUCAGAAUGCUGCGGUGAAUGUGUUCCCGGGUCUUGUACACACCGCCCGUCACACCAUGGGAGUCAGUAACGCCCGAAGUCAGUGACCUAACUGCAAAGAAGGAGCUGCCGAAGGCGGGACCGAUGACUGGGGUG